CAGGCUACGGUACAUCAGGGCCAUUGAAGGCUGUCUUGACAGGAUGCAGGAUUUUGUUCCUUUCCAAGUGGUAUCGAGCUCUCUGCUCUAAAAGGAGAGAUCACAGAAUGGCUAAGGUUGAAAGGGAAUGUAGGCGAUCUGGUCCAACUCUCCUGCUCAAGCAAAGCCACUUAGAGUCAGUUGCUCAGAUGGUUUAUGAGCAACUCCGACAAUGGAGACUAGAGAUAAGUCACUUUGAUCUUCUUUUCUUCUCUUUGGAUCUCUGCUCUGGGCGUAUGUGUUCUCUUCCUUUUGUCUGUAAGCUCCCUUUCUGUUCCAUAAUGAGACCCUUGGGAUCCUGGAGUGAGUUUGUGCCCCUUGUCUGAGGACUUGGCACCAGGGCUGUGCUUUGCCUAACAUGUUAAUAUUGCAGGUUGCAGGCAUUAGCACUUCCUAUACAUGAAUAUCAGGCUGUGACUGAUUAAUGUAUGUGUCAGUAGUGAAAGGUGGCAAGUAGAGAGGCCAGGGUGAGCUAAUUCAAUCGCAAAUACAAGGGUAAUUGACUGGAGCUAGUAAUGUAACUAGUUGUGGUCAUGACCCUGGGUAUGCAUUUACCAGUCCUUGGCUUUGUUCUGGACUAUUUUCUGCUUAGAGAGUGGCUAUACGUGUGUGCUCACCACUAACAGCUUCUCAAAUUAGAGUAUUUCUAUAGUUAAUCUCUCUGGAGCUGUCUGAACUUCUCUUUAAACCUCUGUGUGUGUGGAUGGAGGAUUCUCUUUUAUUUCACUCUGUGCAGUGCUGUCUGUGUUGCUACAUCCUCUCCAACGGUGCUUCCUGCUGUCAGGGAUACAACACUCAAUCUGUGUUUGUUUCCUGCCGGUGAAAACAGUCUCCUGUUCUGAAGGGCAGGAGUGUGCAGAGUGAAUAGCUGUCCUCCUUCCAGCUCUGAUGCAGUGACUGUGCUGUGAGAGCUGCUAGGCAGCAGGGUGGCUCCUACACAGAGGACACUGCCUUGUUUAAUGAUCCAGAAGAGCAAGAUAGGAGCAAGCUCCCCCCAGAUAUGCUGGUCCAAAAUAUGGUGGGCUGUCAUGCCCUGGAGACGUCGUCCAGUUCCCCCUCAGAUUUGGACAGCAAGAGGAAGCUUUCUGGUUGGCCUUGGCUGCACAGGUGGUACCAGCAGAUCCCUGCUGCAGGCUGACACCAGGCUAGAAGGACACCAUCACACCACCGAGAGAGAGAUGGGGUGCCCAGCUGAAACCUUGCUGUGUCCAGCUUGGGGCAGCUCUCCCCUAGAGCUGAGCUUUCUGCAUCAGUCCCCUGCCACCAAAACAUGCAUUUGGAUUGCAAGCUGAAAAUGAGGUUGCAUGGCGAAACUCUAGUUUUCCAUCACAGGCACAGCAUGUUUUUUUCAUUCUGGAGCUGGAAGAAUAUAUUUUAUAUCAAUCUAUCUAUGUUCAAAGGCAUAGUUUCCCUUGAAUAAACUGGAAGACUGGAGUCCUUUUCCCUCUGCAGUGUUUGUACGGGUGUACUGUUGUUACUACUGUGUGGUCCAAGGCUGGCUUACCACAAGUAUGGAGAUCAUGGAAUCUCUGCAAUUAAUCAAGCUCUAGCUUGUGCAUUCUGAUUCAGGUUUGGGAAUUGGCCUGGGAGCACAGGCAGUGCGAGUGACUGAAGCAGAAUUGCUGCAAGAGGCAUGUGACUGUGGGUGUGCAGGUGCUCCAGGUAUCGGUGCAGAUUUGGGGAUGUCAGUUGCUUGGAGUCACUGCAAACCCUGUUCAACACAACCACUGCUGCAAUAAAGAAAGUGUUAAAGGCACGUAAAGGCUACAAAGCAGGAUGCAGUCCUUGGCCUCCUGUGGACUUCCCAGCAGCUGCUAGGAGUCAAAUGCUCCUCCUAGAGUGACAGCCUCUCCUACAUCAGAGAAGGAAGCUAUCACUACUCUCUGGAGCCCAGGUCACUGCCCUUCAUUUGUAGUCAUGCAGAUUUCUCCCUUGGACACUUACCAGUCCUGAAGCAGAGGGGUCCUCAAGGCUGAAUGUGAAUUUGCUUUGCGUUGGGUGCAGCACAGAAACUUGAUCUCUGGCUGAGCCUCUUCUCCUUCACAGAAACCUUGAGGUUCGUAGAUGUGGAAUGGCCUAUUUAUGCUGCCUGUAUGGCAGAGGGAUUAACUGAAUCCUCCAGAAAAGUGGGCUGACCAGCACUGAGGUGCAAGCUAUUUAUCUUUGGUAGAUGGUAGAUGUGAUCUCAGCUCUGCAUUGGUGUGUGAACACCACCAAUUAAAAUGGCAGUGUCAGUUCUCAGCAUAGCCAAAAGUCCACCCUACAGCCACACCAGAACUGAACACCCCACACUGUAUGAAUGCAUGGGAAGCAGGGGAGCUCACCCAGACCCACCAGGGAGUCUGGUCCCAGUAUCUGUCUGAGGGAUCAGGGCUGUUGUUACCUAACACCCUCGGGACCAGAGAGCUUCCCUGUGUGCAGCAGAAUGUGCUCAGGCUGUUAUGGGUGUUGUAUUCCUACUGCUACUGGACUGCACUGGCUUAGGCUCAGUGCUAUACCCUUGCAUACCCUGAGGUCCUUCCAUAGUCUGAGAAAGCCAGAAACCAGCUUCGUAUUAACAUCUACACAGACUGUGCCUGUGCUGCCUGGUAGGGUGACUGCUGUCCCCUCCCCACCAUCCUGCUCAUCACCAGAUGCUCUUCCUCUUGCAAGGCAGAUAAGUCACAGUCAGCCCUCUUCAAAGGCUGAUCUAAAGAGAACAAAAAGACGGGGAAUACCUCCAUGCCUCUCUGCAAAUCAAAGAAGGUAACCUUGCAAACAUCCCCUCACUGCUGUGAUCUGCUGUGGGAUCACUUCAGAGUGCUGGCACGUCACAGAGCCUGGUUACAGUCUGCAUCUGACUUCCCUUGAUGUGCAUGUGAGAAGUUCAUGCUUCACUUGGCAAAAAUUGGUUCUGACAGUCAGGGAGCUACUUCUGUUACAAUUUAUCACUCAGCUACAAGCACAAUUCUUGAUCCUGUUGGAAAAGGAAUUCAGGGAGCUUGGAAUGCUCUUAGCAGGGACGGUGGGUGACCAGGAGCAUGGUGACUGGCAGGAGGUGCCUGGCUGUGCCUGGCUGUGUGUCUUUCCCACAGCUUCAGGGUUCUACCUGGUCACCCACAAUUCAUGACCUGUCUGUAUAAAGCCCAGCGGUGCUUUGUUUCCCUUUUCACAGGGGAGCUGGGAACGUAAAGUGGUGGCUUAGUAGCUAUCAGAGCACCCAUUGAUGGAGCAGAGAAAUGAAUAUAUACGUCUUCUCCGCUAGUUCUGAAGCCCCCCUCUGUGUGCAGUCCUGCCUGCAGAGGCAGGACAGCAAUAGCAACAGCACAGAGUGACAGCAGCACUACCCCUUCCAAGGUAUGUAUGUGUAAGCAGUACACAGUCUCAAGGAGUGACUCAGAGCACCUCUGGUGCAGUGGGAUACUCCCAGUCCCAGUUCAUCAUCUUCCCAGGCAGCCAGCAGGAACCCGAGGGUCUGCUCUAAUGUCCCUUGGAAGCAUUUUGCAACCGUUCGACACCCUACCAUUUUGUGAAUGGGUUUAUGGCAAUGCUCUUGAGUUUCAUUUGGUUCCGAACAGCCUUUGCUAUCAGAGAAUGUGAGAAGGACAGAUACCGUGAACAGAAGGAAUAAGGAGACUAUGGGCAAUGGGGUUCCUCUUCCACACCUGCUGCUCAGGACUGGCAGGGGCAAAGGUGCUGUGACAGGGAGAGGUAAAGUUGCCAGGGAUGGAUGAGACCUGAAUCGGUGGCAAAGCUGGAACGGCAAACCAGGAGACACAGGACGGGCAGGGCUCAGGGCUGCGGGCAGCAGCAGGACCGGCACUGACCGUCGGUGGGGCGGCAGCGCGUUCCGGCGGGGACUCGGGACGGCACGGCCAGAUCCUGCAGCGAGGGAACGGCAAGGAGAGCGGGAGGAGACGGGGGAGGUGAUGGGAUGGGGGCUGCGGACCCUCCCUUCGUGUUCUGGACAGACGGGAGCAAACGGAGGAGAGGAGGAGCAGGCGGUUCGAGCUCUCUUUUUUCAAUGGGCUGCUCAUUCUGCUGCUGUCACUGCUGUUCCCAGCAAAGAGUGCCUCCGUUUCCCCAUCUGUGCAGGUACCUCGUUUGUUCUGCCGGGGGACAAACUCGGUGCUCAACCUGGGAACCGCAGCCGCUCCAAAGCAUCCGGCAGGCACCGAGCCGGGGCGGGCAGCCGGGUUCUCCCCGGGGCUCCUGCAGCGAGCACGGUCGGGUCUGGGGCUGCGGGUCUGCACCGGGAGCCGCUCCCUCCCCUCGCCGCCCACCCCGCUCCCGGUCGCUUGGCCCGGACGGGCUGCUCGCACGGGCGGCACCCGGGAAUUCGGGAGCCCCGUUCCCGCCGGCAGGAUCCUACCUGCCACGCUCCGCUGCCGCCUCCGCUCCGCUCCGCUGCCCGGCUGCCCGCCCCGCCCCGGCCCCGCCGCACACCUUUAUGGACGCACGCACCCCGGCACACGCUCACACGCUCCACCGUGCAGCGCCGGCAGUUGUGGGCACCUCGCACCGAGCACACAGCGCCCGCCCCGCGGCGCACACGACGUGGAGAUGUGGCACUUGGGGACACGGCUUAAUGGCACCGUGGGGAUGGGCUGGUGGUUGGGUUUGGUGAUCUUGGGGGUGUUUUCCAACCGUAACGAUUCUAUAACUCGAUGUGAUUCAACUAAAUCUAACAGCGAGCUCAUGCCUCUUGGCACUGACAGUGGGCACAGCUGCAUGCACCUCAAUCACACACAGCACGAAGCCCUGUAGGUGUGCAACAGCCAACACUACACCACCCAUGAAUUGUUUCUGGUGUCCUCCAGCCACAGACAUGCAAUAAACACAGAGCCCACCUCAGGGCCCCCAGCCCAGGUGGGCACCCAGGGCACCCAGGGACCCUGAGCAGCAGUUGGAGCCCCCAGCAGCUCCCCUCAGCCCUGAGCCUGGCCCAGCAGGCAGUGUCUGCCUGGCUUUCAGGGAGGCACAAGCUCUUCAGGGCCCUUGGAGAAAAGCAGCAGCAGGAUGACAUCAGAGCUGCCCAGCUGCCCCCCAGCCCCUCUUUUUGGGUGGGGGCACUUCGGGUAUCUUGGAUGUGUUUCUGUUCCCCACUGUGUGGCUGCCCUGUGCCUCUCCCCAGCUCCUUCUGUGGGUCCGGUGUCAGGGCAACCCUCGCUAUCAGUACAAACUGGGGGGGGGUGAAAGGAUUGAAGACAGCCCUCCUGAAAGGAACCUGGGGUACUGGUGGGUGGCCAGCUGGCCAUGGCAAACAGCAGUGUGUCCACAGAGACAAGAAAGCCAACCAUAUCCUGAGCUGCAUCCAAAGUAACAUGGCCAGCGGGGUGAAGGGGUUAUCCUGCCCCUCUGUUCCGCAUUGGAGGAGAGUCCAUCACCUGGAGGAGUGCAUCCAGAUGUGAAGUCCUCAGUACAAGAAAGACAUGGACCUGUUGCAGCGUGUCCAGAGCAGGGCCAUAGAAAUGAUCCAAGGGAUGGAACACACCCAUAUGAGGACAGGCUGAGAGUUGGGGCUGUUCAACUUGGAGAAAACUCUGGGGAGACAUGAGAAUGUCCUUUCCGUAUCUAAAAGGGAGCUUUAAUAAAGAAGGAGACAGACUCUUCAGGAGGGUGUGCUGUGACAGGACAAGGGAAAUGGUUUCAAACCAAAAGAGGGGAGAUUUAGACUGGAUAGAAGGAAGAAUUUUUUUUACAUGUUGCCCAGAGAUGGGGUGGGUGCCGCAUCCCUGGAAACACUCAAAAUCAGACUGGAUGGGGCUCUGAGAAAUCUGAUUGAAUUGUAAGUGUCCCUGUCCAGUGCAAGGAAGUUGAAUUAGAUCACCUUCUAACUCAAGCAAUUCUAUUACUCUUGCCCUGGUCUGCCCCUGCCCUGGGUGUACCUCAGGACACAGUGAGCAGAGCUGUGCAAUGCUUCCCCCAAACCACUGCACUAUGGAGUGCUGUGUGCAGCUGCAGGGCAGGGAAGGAUGGGGCCCCCAGGCCCCUGCUCCACAGGGUGGGAAGGAAGGGCCCAGGCCCACAUGCCCCCUGCAGCCCUCCUCCAGACCCAUUGUGCUGUACAUGCUCACCUCACUGCUCCUCACCCCUUCCUCCUCCCACAGCUGCCGCGCCAUGAAGCAACACAGUGCAGAGAUAAAUUAGAGGACUUGAAGCUGGAAAAUGCCUGCUGGGAGGGGCCAGGACUCUAUCGUCACACAGACACCCGUGGGCUUCUGCAGAGAAAUGAUGCCAUAACUAUCAAGGAAGGCUAAGCAGGCACCCGUGCAGCACAAAGUGACAGCAGCCCCAUAUCCCUGGCUCUGGGAUGUGGUACAGGUCGGUGCCCAUCCUGCCGAGCUCUGUCGGCUGCAGAUGGGGUCAGAAGUGAGGUGCUGGGGCCUCAGGAGCGUGGCUGCUGGUGCUGGAGAGCUCAUGCUGGAGAGCUCAGGCCCUGCCGUGGCUGCAGGCUCUCAUGGCAGCAGGUCCAUGAAGUACCUGGUCCAGGUGUGUGCAAGGAGGGAAGGUGCCAUGGAGUCCUGUGCAGGAGCCCCAUUUUGGAGUCAUCUCCUGUGCUGCUCUGCAGGACCUCCUCCGCUCAGUGUGCCAGCCUGCUGUAAAGGGGCUGUACCUUUGUUGUUAGGGCUCUGGAGCAUGCUGGAGGGCUCUGAGGAGUACUGUGGGACUCUGUAAUGGUCACAGAGAUAUACUGGGGGGACACUGCACCUCUGGGAGGUACCUCUGGGGCUCACUGGGGUUCUGGGGGAUGUGUAAGGCUCCACACUCCUCUGUUCUGCCUCAAUGACUUCUUUUCCUCUUUCUCUCUCUGAUUCUCAGCCCUGCUUUCUCUUCUCUUUCCUUAAUUUCACUGUCCCUAAUACUUCUCUGUCUGUCUAUCAGUGUACUACACCCCAUCCCUGCUCUCUUGGUGUCCUGUUCCCUGUGUUUCUCUGCUCAUCUCUAUCCUCCUUGCCUUUCUUAGUGUAUUUCUUUCUCUCUCUGCUCCUAAUGCUUCUUUCUGUCUUAGCUAUUUAACUUCCCUCUUUUUCUCUGCCUG